UACGUAGGGUGCAAGCGUUGUCCGGAAUUAUUGGGCGUAAAGAGCUCGUAGGCGGUUUGUCGCGUCUGCUGUGAAAACUCGGGGCUUAACCCCGGGCCUGCAGUGGGUACGGGCAGACUAGAGUGCGGUAGGGGAGACUGGAAUUCCUGGUGUAGCGGUGAAAUGCGCAGAUAUCAGGAGGAACACCUAUUGCGAAGGCAGCUCGCUGGGACGUAACUGACGCUGAGACGCGAAAGCGUGGGGAGCAAACAGG
rnacentral:rRNA from 1 species